UACAUGUGUCGAUUUCCUACAAGUGUUGGGUUUCUUGGAUUUGAGUUUGGGAAGAAUUAUCAGAGAUGGAGCAAGAGAAGACAAAGGGACGAGAUAAGAAGAGGGAGGAAAGGUGAUGUGUUCAAUGGUGGACCUUCUAGAGAUAUCUCAUCUACAAGCACUUUAUUUAUCCUUCGCUCUUAUUUCUCCUAAUCUGAAGAGGACUUAGCUCAUUGCAGGACGAGCCUUUAAGCCAGGGAAAACAACUUCAGUAAUAUCUCAAUGGAAGUUGUUUUCCGUUGCGGGAGGAAAUCAAUCAUUUUACCUGUGAAAAUAUUUUCAUUGCUUUAAAUCUCACCAAACACUGGAAGUUAGAAAAAUCUUUUUCCAGAAAAUAUUUUACGGCGAAACAAACAGACCCUAAAUUCAAGUCACUUACCAUAUGGAACCUUUUAAAUUUCACCUUAACUGAAACGAGAUGUAUACAUGACUUGGUUUCAAAAGAAUGUACCUUUUGAUGUCAAUAGGGCUACGCAUCGUUUUGCUAAAUUUUCAUAUAUUCCGAAAGGUCUGCACAAGUUAGGCUAGAAUGUGUCGCUGACUUGACAUCCUGAUCCAAUGAAGUAUACUGGCACAACAAGUCAUCAGCCAUGCCAGAGCAAAACCUUGUACAAAGGCCAACCACGAACGGAACUUUCUUGUAUCCGUUGACGCCAAAAGUCCAUGGUGCAGAAUGGAGGAAAUAAAAAGCUGUGUGUGAAUUUCAGCAAAAGCUUAAAUCCCGCUCGAAAUGGGUAAGAAGAAAGCUAAACAAGCUGGGAAACUUUUCUGAAGAUCGUAUUGUGUCUCGUCUUAAAAAGCUACUGAGCAUAUACAAGGAAAUUCAAUCAUGAAAACAAGUACAGUAUUAUUCUCUGUGGUUGCAAAUAGUUCGGAAAGCGAGUUUGGUUGCUGUUGAUUCUUUGUGCCUGCAGUUCUUCUUCUGUACAGUAUUAUUCUUUUCGUUUUGUUAUCCUUCCUUAGUCCUAGAGAUAUCAAUAGUAACAUAAGAUAAAACCUUACUCUCAGGAUGUUGCACUUGUGUAUUAAUCACUUGGCUGAAUUUCUGGUUUCUUUUCCUGUUUUCUCUUUUCUGGGGUUUGAAGCAUUACUGCUUUCCAGCUGACUGAUCGUGCAAAUUUCCUUGCUCCUUGAAUUGGCAAAUGCCUUCUAGACUGCCCUUAUUGACCUUGUCAUAGAAGUCCAAAUUCACAAAUCUGGGGUCCAUUCGGCAGCCGAUGAGGAUCGAUUGGGUCUGUUCAAUUUGUUCUAAUCGGCAUCUGAAUUGUGAUGAUGACUGGGUUCAGAUUCGUCUGUUUCUUAGAGAAAAUCCAUGUGGAUUACAGGCUUUGAGCUAUGGAUAAUCUGAAAAUCCAGCAGCGAUAACAAUUGAUGACAUGGAUGAUGCUCUUUUCCUUCCAAGUACUUUGUUAUUCAACCUCCGUGCAUGUACGGACAAAACAUCCAUCCGCAUCCAAGAGAAGAGAUUGAAGCAAAUCAUCUUUUUGCCUCUUUAAAGGUGGGUUCCAGCUUCCCCCUUUCACAACUGGCAAUAGUGAAUAGUGAAAUGAAAGUUUCUGCAACUCUCAAAAUCACAACUUUCGCGACUUUGCUAUUUUCCCAGCAUUCGUCACUUUGCGAACACCUCAAGUUCCCUCGUCAUGGUUUUGGCAGAUGUUCUAAUAUUUUGUUUAUUUAUUUAUUCAUUAGUAAAAUCACACUUUGAAAGUUAAAAACUCAGAUCAGAGUGCUAUUUUCUAACUUCUAUCUGAGCAUAUCUUAGUUCAGGCAACUCAUUAAAGCGUCUGAACAAGUCACACUUGGAUUCUUGCA